rnacentral:rRNA from 5 species
UGACCUCGGAUCAGGUAGGGAUACCCGCUGAACUUAAGCAUAUCAUAA